UGCCCAGCAACUCCUAUCCCAACCUCCGCGUGGUCCGGGUAACUUACCCCGGUGGGAACUUUGGUCGUAGGCUGACAGGGAAGA
rnacentral:ribozyme from 1 species